AAACAUUUUAAAUUUAAAGGUCUGGUCCCAGCCUUCCUAUUUAUUGUCAGUAAAUUUACACAUGCAAGUAUCAGCUACCCAGUGCAAAUGCCCUCUAACCCUAACAUGGUAUAAAGGAGCAGAUAUCAAGUACACAUAAAAAGUCGCUUAUGACAUCUUGCUUAGCCACACCCCCACGGGAAACAGCAGUGAUAAAUAUUGAGCUAUGAACGAAAGUUUGACUAAGUUAUACUGAUUUUAGGGUUGGUAAAUCUCGUGCCAGCCACCGCGGUCAUACGAUUAACCCAUAUAAAUAGGUAAUCGGCGUAAAGAGUGUUUAAGAUAUUUAUAUAAUGAAAUUAAAAAAUAAUUUGGAUGUAAAAAGCUUAAAUUAUAUAUUAAAAUCAACUACAAAAGUGUUUUCAUAAAAUCUUAAUACACGUGAGCUAAGACCCAAACUAGGAUUAGAUACCCUACUAUGCUUAGCCCUAAACCUAGAUAGUUACUUAACAAAACUAUACGCCAGAGAACUACGAGCCACAGCUUAAAACUCAAAGGACUUGGCGGUGCUUUAUACCCCCUAGAGGAGCCUGUUCUAUAAUCGAUAAACCCCGCUCAACCUUACCAAUCUUUGCUAAUUCAGCCUUUAUACCGCCAUCUUCAGCAAACCCUAAAAAGGAAAAAAAGUAAGCACAAUAAUCUUCAACAUAAAAAAGUUAGGUCAAGGUGCAGCCUAUAGAUUGGAAUGAAAUGGGCUACAUUCUUUUUUAAAAAGCAUAACGGAAAUUUUCAUGAAACUGAAAAUUGAAGGAGGAUUUAGUAGUAAAUUAAGAGUAGAGUGCUUAAUUGAACUCGGCAAUGAAGCAUGCACACACCGCCCGUCACCCUCUUCAAAUACAUUAAAUCGCAUAUAAAUAUAUACAUUAAUUAUAUUACAACGAUAAUAGUUUAUAAGAAGAGAUAAGUCGUAACAAGGUAAGUAUACUGGAAAGUGUACUUGGACAAUCGGAG
rnacentral:ncRNA from 1 species